rnacentral:rRNA from 1 species
UACGGGGGGAGCAAGCGUUGUUCGGAUUUACUGGGCGUAAAGGGCGCGUAGGCGGCGCAACAAGUCACUUGUGAAAUCUCCGGGCUUAACUCGGAGCGGUCAAGUGAUACUGUCGUGCUAGAGUGCGGAAGGGGCUACUGGAAUUCUCGGUGUAGCGGUGAAAUGCGUAGAUAUCGAGAGGAACACCUGCGGCGAAGGCGGCUCACUGGACCGGUACUGACGCUGAGGCGCGAAAGCGUGGGGAGCAAACGGG